CUAUAUUUAUUAAUGAAUUUUAUGAUAUAAUAAUUAAAUAUCCAUAGUUUUGUACAAUUUAAUAGAGUUAAUUAUAGAUCAGAUAUAUUUCAUAAAUAAUACAGUAUUAAUAAAAUAAUAUUUAUAAAGUAUAGUUAUGAAAGAUCUAUUCAGCAAUAACAUUACUUGAAAAAAUUAUCGUUAUCAAAAUUAAUAGCCUCAGGUAUGUAGUUUAAUGAAGCAAUUUAUAACGAGGGUCACCCCGAAUUAAACCGAGAAAGACUUUUUUUUUUUUAAUCGAGUAAAAUUUGAGUAAUCUCAACUAAGUCCGUACAGCUAUAUAUUAUAUAUAAAUUUUAUAGAUUUUGAACCGUCCUAUUGGACUGUUAACAUUUUAUGCAGUCACAAAAGGAACGAGCUAACAUGAAAUGACCUAAAAAUGUUAGAUUGCGACAUUCACUUCAAGUGUCUCCGCUCGGUUUUCAACAGCCAACUAGCCUUGCGGGUCUGUAUAACUAUCACAAUCUUAAAUUCCAACCGUGCCAACGUUCUUCGCUUCUAUAUAAAGCAAUUUAGUUUUUAUGGACUGCCAAUGCCAUCUCUUGUCAGUAAUGCGAAAAUUCCAAGCAAUUUUAUGCCCGUACAUCAGUCCGUGUGGUUCAAUACCCUCUUUACACCAAUGACGUUGUAGUUGCAGAUACAACAGUGUGUAAAUAACCCGAUAAGUUAUUUACGUAUAUGUUAAUCGCUUGGAUAAACUGAUAUAGAAAUGUUUAUCCGUAAAAAAAGAGUGCUAAAAUAACUAUUCGAUAUUUUAUUAAAAAAAAAAACAAACACUAUUGAAUUAUGAUACAUGAAUAUACUGUAUAUCGUGCAUUUAUUCUCACUACUGUUUUAUUUCAGGUAUAACUUGUUAUUGUUUUCAAUCCUAUAUUCUUCGUUGAAAAUCUUUAUAAUCGAUGAUUCUAUAUUAAUAAAUCUGUGCGUUAUACUUUUCAGAUGGAAUAUUAAAGAAUUAAAUCGGUCGUUUACUUCAUUUUUGGGGGGAAGAGAGGCAUAAGCGAAGGCGUAACACAUGUGGAAAAUCAUUUUGCUUUCCCGAGAGUCAUGAUAUAUGAGAGACAGAAAUAGGAGUUUCCCCAGAUACCAAUUUCAUCCCCUAAAUAUUUAUUCUAGUCGGAGGCUCGAUGCGAUAUUUAUGCUCUCUUCUUAUUCAUUGGCCCAUUUUAGAAGGGAGAACUGUGAUUACGUCAUAAUUCCGAUAUACAUCUUUCCUUCAAUUAAAAAAAACGUUUACUCCUGUGUCAAAAUAUCUUUUAAAAGUGAAAAAAAUGUAUUUUAUAAAUGAAG
rnacentral:lncRNA from 1 species